rnacentral:rRNA from 1 species
GACGAACGCUGGCGGCGUGCUUAACACAUGCAAGUCACGGGGGCCCGCAAGGGUAACCGGCGAACGGGUGCGUAACACGUGAGCAAUCUGCCGUACACUGGGGGAUAGCCGGCCCAACGGCCGGGUAAUACCGCAUACGUUCCCUGUCUGGCAUCGGACGGGGAGGAAACCUCCGGGGGUGUACGAGGAGCUCGCGGCCUAUCAGCUAGUUGGUGGGGUAACGGCCUACCAAGGCGAUGACGGGUAGCUGGUCUGAGAGGAUGGCCAGCCACAGUGGGAGUGAGAUACGGCCCAGACUCCUGCGGGAGGCAGCAGUGGGGAAUGUUGCGCAAUGGCCGCAAUGCUGACGCAGCGACGCCGCGUGGGGGAUGAAGCAUUUCGGUGUGUAAACCCCUGUUGCUCGGGACGAACAACCCUUUUCGAGGGGUCUGACGGUACCGGGUGAGGAAGCACCGGCUAACUCCGUGCCAGCAGCCGCCGUAAGAC